GACGAACCGUGCGAACGUUGUUCGGAAUCACUGGGCUUAAAGGGCGCGUAGGCGGCCGGGUUGGUCGUGGGUGAAAUCCCCCAGCUUAACUGGGGAACUGCCUACGAUACUGCCUGGCUCGAGGGAGGAAGGGGCGGUCGGAACUGUCGGUGGAGCGGUGAAAUGCGUUGAUAUCGACAGGAACGCCGGUGGCGAAAGCGGACCGCUGGCCCUCUUCUGACGCUGAGGCGCGAAAGCCAGGGGAGCAAACGGG
rnacentral:rRNA from 1 species